rnacentral:rRNA from 1 species
GACGAACGCUGGCGGCGUGCUUAACACAUGCAAGUCGAACGGUAAGGCCCUUCGGGGUACACGAGUGGCGAACGGGUGAGUAACACGUGGGUGAUCUGCCCUGCACUUCGGGAUAAGCCUGGGAAACUGGGUCUAAUACCGGAUAGGACCACUGCCUGCAUGGGUGGUGGUGGAAAGCUUUUGCGGUGUGGGAUGGGCCCGCGGCCUAUCAGCUUGUUGGUGGGGUGAUGGCCUAACAAGGCGACGACGGGUAGCCGGCCUGAGAGGGUGACCGGCCACACUGGGACUGAGUUACGGCCCAGACACGUACGGGAGGCAGCAGUGGGGGAGAUGGCACAAUGGGCGCAAGCCUGAUGCAGCGACGCCGCGUGAGGGAUGACGGCCUUCGGGUUGUAAACCUCUUUCAGCACCGACGAAGCGCAAGUGACGGUAGGUGCAGAAGAAGGACCGGCCAACUACGUGCCAGCCGCCGCCGUAAGAC